rnacentral:lncRNA from 1 species
CACCAAGCAGAUGACUCAGGUACUUCAGUGGCAAAGCAAUCGUUUUGGUUCUUCAUCUCUAAUUUCCCCCUACCCCUACAACAUCCCAGAUCAACAUCUGGUUACCACCACCUAGUUACCUGGAUGAUUGCAGUGGCCUUCCAGAGUUUCUCUGAAUGCACGGUUAUUACUAAUUCUCCAUUCUUCCUCUAGCUUCAUGAGUUCCCUUCUUAACAACCUUUCCCAUGAGUCUUGCGAGGGGAGGGGGGAGAUACAAAUCUUCAAUGUAGUUUACAUGGGCAAGCCUGUUCCCAUGCCACCUCUUGGCUACUAUCAUCCUGUUCCUAGAUUCCAGCCACAAUAGUCUUUAUUGCUGGAACACACCAACUUUAAUUCUGUCACCUCUGGGGGUUUACCUAUAUUGUUCCCCUGGAUGACUUAACCCGUUUUUAGUUCUCAGCCUAAAUGCCCUUUCUCUGAAAAUACUCCCUCAAUGUCAACCCCAGUUACUCAUACGUUAAACUCUAUUUGUAUGAAUUAUUUACUGUCUGACAACACAGGGAAAUUGUAAACUCCAGGGAGGGUAGAGACCCUAGCAAGUGCCCAGUACUUUGUAGGUGCUCAAUGAGAAUUCACUGACUUGAAUAAAUGAGAAAAUUAAUUCACUGGUAGCUUGGACUUAAAAGAGCUCUAAAGUGACUUCAUUCAUUCCAGCAGUGGCUUGUGGUUGACAGUCCACCUUACCAGAACAACAGAACACGGGAAUUCAAAAUAUUGGGCAAUAUAUAUAGGAUUGAACUAUACCCAAAGUUGACCCUUCUACGCCAUGCUUUUCUGAAAAUGACUACUUACACACUAUGCAGAGUUCUGGCCAGUUCUUUAGUUAAAACCACUUUAAUAACCUCAAGCCUCUCCCGUGCAGUGAUCAGACCUCUACUCA